UACCUAAUCUUAUCACCUCCUGUCUCAGUUUGUGUUUCUCCAAAGGUCAUUAGCAUGCUUUAGUCUAGCAGCCAGCUAUUGCCCUUUGAAUUCCAUUGGCCUUCACUAGAUGGUAUAAGAGAGGACUAUUUUCUGCAAUUUUCAGUCAAGAGACCUUGAAGAGAAGUUCUGGUUCCUCACAUAUUUUCUGGCUAGCAUUGGAUAGAAGGAGACUGGUAAGAAAACAACUCAUGUAAAAGCACUACAGAUUUCAUCUUAACUUCUUCUGCAGGCCCAACAUUGAGAUAUCUUGAGACAUUUUCAUGGAGUUUGUUGCUAGCUGGUGAUGUGCUUUCUUUUUUGAUGUUUCCCUAUCCACUAUCAUAAGCUAUUUUUUUCUUUGCAGUCUGUUGCAAGUGUUUUACAAAGAACAAAUUCAUCUUGUAUCACCUACACCGUGACAAUGCUGUCUUCCAUUUUUUUGCAGCAGCAGUGCUGAAGUUACUCAUAAAUUGUGCUGUGCAUUUGACAUACAGCCAACAACUGGAAGAAGCAAACUCACCCCUCCCCAGAGUUGAGAAAGCAGCCUUGAGAAGAAAGAAGGAGAUCUUGAGAAGAAAGAAGGAGAUCAGACCCAGUGCCCAUAAAGGACCAAAUGGUUCCUGGACCAGCUGAUGGAUUGUGUCUCACUAAAGCCAUGGGAGUAUUUGGCACAGUGGAACAUAAAUCUUGAUAGGAGGCAGAACCAGCAGACAAGGAUUCACUGAACUCUGAAAUUCUUCAGGGUAGAGCAUAAAGAACAGUAAACAAUAUUAGAGAGUUUUCCAAUAGAUUCUUUCUGCAUCACAAUACUUUGGCUGCUCUAGAGCACCAACCACCAGUUCUUACUAAACUUUCUGUAUUACUGGCAAGUACUUUUCUUUUUUUUUCCUCCCAUGGUACCUAUAAAUUUAGAGAUAAAGAUAAUAGGCCAA